CAGCCGUAAACUAUGCGCGUUAGGUGUAUCGGUGACCACGAGUCACCGAGGUGCCGAAGGGAAACCGUGAAACGUGCCGCCUGGGAAGUACGGUCGCAAGGCUGGAACUUAAAGGAAUUGGCGGGGGAGCACCACAACAGGUGGAGCCUGCGGUUUAAUUGGACUCAACGCCGGGAAGCUCACCGGAUAGGACAGCAGAAUGAUUGCCGGGCUGAAGACCCUGCAUGACUAGCUGAGAGGUGGUGCAUGGCGUGUGACUGU
rnacentral:rRNA from 1 species